rnacentral:rRNA from 1 species
AGAACGAACGCUGGCGGCAUGCCUAAUACAUGCAAGUCGAACGAAGGCUUCGGCCUUAGUGGCGCACGGGUGCGUAACGCGUGGGAAUCUGCCCCUUGGUUCGGAAUAACAGUUGGAAACGACUGCUAAUACCGGAUGAUGACGAAAGUCCAAAGAUUUAUCGCCAAGGGAUGAGCCCGCGUAGGAUUAGCUAGUUGGUGAGGUAAAGGCUCACCAAGGCGACGAUCCUUAGCUGGUCUGAGAGGAUGAUCAGCCACACUGGGACUGAGACACGGCCCAGACUCCUACGGGAGGCAGCAGUAGGGAAUGUUGGACAAUGGGCGAAAGCCUGAUCCAGCAAUGCCGCGUGAGUGAUGAAGCCUUAGGUGUAAAGCUCUUUACCGAGAUGAUAAUGACAGUAUCGGAGAAUAAGCCCCGGAUAACUCCGUGACCAGC